rnacentral:rRNA from 1 species
GACGAACGCUGGCGGCGUGCUUAACACAUGCAAGUCGAACGGAAAGGCCCCUUUGGGGGUACUCGAGUGGCGCACGGGUGAGUAACACGUGAGUAACCUGCCCUUGACUUCGGGAUAACUUCAGGAAACUGGGGCUAAUACCGGCUAGGAAUCCUUGCUGCAUGGUGGGGGUUGGAAAGCUUCGGCGGUUUUGGAUGGACUCGCGGCUUAUCAGCUUGUUGGUGGGGUAGUGGCUUACCAAGGCUUUGACGGGUAGCCGGCCUGAGAGGGCGACCGGCCACAUUGGGACUGAGAUACGGCCCAGACUCCUACGGGAGGCAGCAGUGGGGAAGAUUGCACAAGGGGCGGAAGCCGGAUGCAGCAACGCCGCGUGCGGGAUGACGGCCUUCGGGUUGUAAACCGCUUUCAGCAGGGGCGAAGCUUGUGGUGACGGUACCUGCAGAAGAAGCACCGGCUAACUACGUG